UGAGGUGAUGGAGUGGAUGAAUAA
rnacentral:piRNA from 1 species